UAUGGUUGAAGCUCUUGUAUGUACUCAAAAUUGGCUUCGAAGCAACCUUCCAAUUUCUCUUCGAAAGGCGAUGGAUGAUGUAAAAGAAUUUGAGCAAUAUGACUCGGGUACUUUGGAGUCAAGCUCAUCUUCAACUUCAACCUAUAAUGUUGAUGCUAUAAUUGAUGUCUAAUAUCCAUUUGGUCAUUGGGUUCAUCAACCAAAUGCAUGGAAUUGGAAUU